rnacentral:rRNA from 1 species
UACGGGGGGGGCAAGCGUUGUUCGGAAUUACUGGGCGUAAAGGGUUUGUAGGUGGCUUGUUAAGUCAGACGUGAAAUCCCUCAGCUUAACUGGGGAACUGCGUCUGAUACUGGCGAGCUUGAGUGCAGGAGAGGAACGCGGAAUUCCAGGUGUAGCGGUGAAAUGCGUAGAUAUCUGGAGGAACACCGGUGGCGAAGGCGGCAUCCUGGACCGGUAUUGACGCUGAGGCGCGAAAGCCAGGGGAGCAAACGGG